AUCGUGGUGCUCGGUGGACUGUUGGCAACGAUCGAAAAGCAUCUCCCCACUGCCAUCCGGCAGACGUUUGCUGCCCUCUGGUCGGUGGCCGGAUUUGCCGUCAUGAUGUAGCCAGCGCGGGACUACGUAAUCGCCUUCCUCGAUACGUUGGCAACCAACAAGCAUAUGGUGCGCACCACACCUACCGAGACGAUGGUUGCCAUGACGCUGAUCACGCUGCAGUGUUUGCGCCGGUUCCACAAGACCUGGUUCGUGCAGGUGUUCUCGAGCAAGCUGAAAAUCACCCACCAGUGGUACGUGGAACACUUUCACAACUAUCCGAAGCAAGCUCGUCAGGAAAGCACUCGUCCCGUUCGUUCUGUGAGAUCGACGGUGAGGGUUGCUGGUUCCCGGCUGAUGGGAUUCAGCUGGUUUUCCUGGAUCGUCUGUGAAUGCCUUGUUCCACGGACCGGUCGUCGAUGCACUCGAGGUGCACCGCAUUGACGAGCGGCAGUAGCAGGAUUCAAUCGGCGCGGCCGAGCUGGCAGCGAAGCCGUUUCUCGGUGAGCCAUUCAUGCCGAAUGAGGGCGGUCAAGAGCCGGCUGCAUACGUUCGAUUCGUUCGAUUCGAUAUUCGUUACGCGCACGAUUAAACUGUGUAACGAUGCCGAGUGUGUCCGGCCAUCGCGACUAGCAGCACAGCGGAAGUUAAGUUGCGUCGUCUAUUGUGGUGCGAUGCGCUGUAUGUUCCGGGUGUGCGAUUGAGCUUCAUGUUUGUUUCUUUUUUGUUCACAGACACCUUUUCAUCAACAACUGGCAUGACUAUCGGCGCACGGUCGGUGGCUCUAGCGAAGGGGAGGGUGCGUUCCAAUCGGCUGGCAGGACACAGAUCGUAUCGGUUAGGACAGCGAUCGGCAUAGUACGGCUCGCGACCCGCAUGUGGCUAUUUGUUGACUAGAUGCCUCUUCAAGUGCAAAUCUACGAACAUGUUUAGAAGACUUGGCUCUUUCGGUCGCAACGUUUGCCGAGUCGCUGGGGAUAUUGGAUUGUAAGGAAUGAAUAUACUGUCCGCAGGAACCAGAUGAUGACAUCACCAAGGAGCUACUGCGCUAAAGCUUAUCAGGAGGAGGCGAGAAUGGUUUGACUUUGGCACAGCUCCCACGUAUCAUCCAUACCACACCAAAUCAUUAUGGCGCAGCCGUGAAUAUGUACAACGUCAUCCUGCUCGGGUUGGAUGGUGACGGUCUCCCGCUCGGUAUAUCUUGACGGCAGUAUAACGCAUAUAA